GGUGCGUUGGCGGAGCGGUUACGCGGAGGUCUGCAAAACCUUAUAGACGGGUUCGACUCCCGUACGUGCCUCCA
rnacentral:tRNA from 1 species